GUUUGUUCGGGGCUUAUGUCUUGUAUUGGAUGAUGGGAAUUUAAACCUCUUCCAGAGUAUCAAUUGGAGGGCAAGUCUGGUGCCAGCAGCCGCGGUAAUUCCAGCUCCAAUAGCGUAUAUUAAAAUUGUUGCAGUUAAAAAGCUCGUAGUUGAAUUUCUGCUGCAUUACAUAUCUCUUGCUUAAGUUUGUAUUUCGCAUGCUCCAUGACCGUUUUUUUUUUUUUUCCGGCGGGAUGUUUUGACGAAGCUAGGUGGGGCCUACCUUGGCCGGUUUUUGUCUCAGUUAGUUAUGGAUGAAUUAAUUUCGACGGUGUUGGGUUUUUGUGGGUGGUUGUACCAACAAAGGACCUUAGGAAGGAAAAGAAGAAAUGCAUACUUAUUUAACUGACAGAAACUACUUUCUUAAAUUAGAGACGGACACUCUACAGAAAAAAAGUUA
rnacentral:rRNA from 1 species